rnacentral:rRNA from 1 species
UACGGGAGGUGCAAGCGUUGUUCGGAUUGACUGGGCGUAAAGCGCACGUAGGCGGGUUCGUAAGUCGGAUGUGAAAGCCCAGAGCUUAACUCUGGAACUGCAUUCGAAACUACGAAUCUUGAAUGUCUGAGAGGUUGGUAGAAUUCCAGGUGUAGGAGUGAAAUCCGUAGAUAUCUGGAGGAACAUCGGAGGCGAAGGCGACCAACUGGCAGUACAUUGACGCUGAGGUGCGAAAGCGUGGGGAGCAAACAGG